rnacentral:rRNA from 1 species
AUACGGAGGGUGCAAGCGUUGUUCGGAAUUACUGGGCGUAAAGGGCGCGUAGGCGGCCUUGUAAGUCGAGUGUGAAAGGCCGGGGCUCAACUCCGUGCACUGCAUUCGAUACUGCUUGGCUAGAGAGAGGUAGAGGCGAGCGGAAUUCCCGGUGUAGCGGUGGAAUGCGUAGAUAUCGGGAAGAACAUCUGCGGCGAAGGCGGCUCGCUGGGCCUCAUCUGACGCUGAAGCGCGAAAGCGUGGGGAGCAAACAGGAUUAGAAACCCCAGUAGUCC